GACGAACGCUGGCGGCGUGCUUAACACAUGCAAGUCGAACGGUAAGGCCCUUCGGGGUACACGAGUGGCGAACGGGUGAGUAACACGUGGGUGAUCUGCCCUGCGCUUCGGGAUAAGCCUGGGAAACUGGGUCUAAUACCGGAUAGGACCACUGCCUGCAUGGGUGGUGGUGGAAAGCUUUUGCGGUGUGGGAUGGGCCCGCGGCCUAUCAGCUUGUUGGUGGGGUGAUGGCCUACCAAGGCGACGACGGGUAGCCGGCCUGAGAGGGUGACCAGCCACACUGGGACUGAGAUACGGCCCAGACUCCUACGGGAGGCAGCAGUGGGGAAUAUUGCACAAUGGGCGCAAGCCUGAUGCAGCGACGCCGCGUGAGGGAUGACGGCCUUCGGGUUGUAAACCUCUUUCAGCACCGACGAAGCGCAAGUGACGGUAGGUGCAGAAGAAGGACCGGCCAACUACGUGCCAGCCGCCGCGGUAA
rnacentral:rRNA from 1 species